CCUACGGGUGGCAGCAGUAGGGAAUAUUGCUCAAUGGGGGAAACCCUGAAGCAGCAACGCCGCGUGGAGGAUGAAGGUUUUCGGAUUGUAAACUCCUUUUGUUAGAGAAGAUAAUGACGGUAUCUAACGAAUAAGCACCGGCUAACUCCGUGCCAGCAGCCGUGGUAAAACGGAGGGUGCAAGCGUUACUCGGAAUCACUGGGCGUAAAGAGCGCGUAGGCGGGAUAGCAAGUCAGAUGUGAAAACCUAGGGCUUAACCAUAGAACUGCAUUUGAAACUGGUAUUCUAGAGUAUGGGAGAGGUAGGUGGAAUGCUUGGUGUAGGGGUAAAAUCCGUAGAGAUCAAGAGGAAUACUCAUUGCGAAGGCGACCUGCUAGAACAUAACUGACGCUGAUGCGCGAAAGCGUGGGGAGCAAACAGGAUUAGAUACCCUAGUAGUC
rnacentral:rRNA from 1 species